rnacentral:rRNA from 1 species
CCCACUCCUAGAACGGGGAGGUAGUGACGAAAAAUAACAAUACCGGACUCAAUGAGGCUCGGUAAUUGAAAUGAGUACAGUUUAAAACCCUUAACGAGGAUCUAUUGGAGGGCAAGUCUGGUGCCAGCAGCCGCGGUAAUUCCAGCUCCAAUAGCGUAUAUUAAAGUUGUUGCAGUUAAAAAGCUCGUAGUUGGAUCUCGGGUACUAGCAUGUGGUACGCUUAACUGCGUUACUACAUGUCUGGUCCUAAUCAACCGGUUGGCCGUUGAUGCCCUUUAUUGGGUGUUUUCGGUAGCCGGUACGUUUACUUUGAGAAAAUUAGAGUGCUUAAAGCAGGCCUUACGCCUGAAUAAUGUUGCAUGGAAUAAUAGAAUAGGACCUCGGUUCUAUUUUGUUGGUUUUGUAGAGCAUUGAGGUAAUGAUUAAUAGGGACAGACGGGGGCAUCGUAUUGCGGUGUUAGAGGUGAAUUCUUGGAUCGCCGCAAGACGAACAACUGCGAAAGCAAUUUGCCAAGAAUGUUUUCAUUAAUCAAGAACGAAAGUUGGAGGUUCG